AUGGAGUCAAUUUCCAAGAUGCCACAUUCAAGAGAACAGAAGAAUUUUUUCCCUAGCUCUUUCCAGUUUUCAAACUGUUCCCAAGGACAGCAACUGGUGACUUUCUCCAAUGACUGGGAGAUCCAAGAAGACCAUAGCAGUAUCUCUGAGAUUUUCCCAAGGAAGUGCAUUGAUCACUUAUCUGGGGCUGCAGGUCGAAAAGAAAAAAAAUACAUUAAAUGGAGAAGCAGAAGGUAAGAACUGUAUUUUCUAAAAGUCACAUGACAUAAUGAUGACCUAAAACAGGAAUUCUGAUAUAUUCUUUUUCUUCAAACAUUAUUCUAUGUUGGUGUUUUAUGACUUCCUUGCUUGCUUGCUUGAUUUUUUGGCCACACCUGUGACACGAGGAAGUUCCCAGGCCUGGGGAUUGAACCUGAGCCACAGCAGUGACAUCGCAGAAUCCUCAACUACUAGGCCACCAGGGAACUAACUCCCUGGCAUAUUCUAAUAGUUAACAAAAAGCACCUGUUGAAUACAUAAGAGGAAAAAGACAAGAAAGGAAGUUUUGUAGCUUAUCAGUUGUCAGCAACAGUUUAAAUUGAGAGUCUUGUUUAAGUAGCUAAAUGAUUAGUUCCGUUUCAGGAUUCCCUACAACCUAAGGGAAAUCAGGAAAUAGGGACAAGGAAAAGAGAAUUGAAGGAUGAGGGAGGCAGAGACCAUAGGGAGUAAAUGAAGGAAAGGGAAGCAGGGAGCUCUGGUGGAAGGUGGUAAAGUAAAAUAGUUCUUUAGAAAAAGGAAGGGAAGACUAUUUGAAAUGAGAGAUGAAUAUCCAGCACCAAAACUUGUCAGAGAAAUAUAGCAAAAUAUUCCCAAUCUUACUGUUUUCAUUGUUAGGAAGAUAUUCGGUACGGAGGUCCCUGUUGGUACAGUGCUGUGUGUUAUCCUCUGUGGGUGAACAUGGGCAUAUGUGGUCAGCUGUAAAUGUAUACAUACAUUUAAUCUAUAUAAAUGUCACACAAAAUGUUCCUGCUUUAUAGGAUGCUGUCAUGUGGGCCAAAUAAGAGAAUUGGAAAGAAGAAGAGAGCAGAGUGCAUUAUGGGAAUAUCAAGGAAUCUGUAGCCUGAUAAAGUGUUCAUUAGAAAGUUUACAGCCUCAUGCAAUUUCAGUUUGGGGGAAGUGUUAUAGUGAGGACCUCUAGGCUAGAUUUCAGAAGGAUUAAGUAAUGGAGAAGCAGACUCAGUAUAGACCAGACUUUCUCAAAUUUUAAUUAGUGACCUGGGGACCUUGUGAAAAGUCCACCUUCUGAGCAGCAGGUGUGGGAUUUUGCAUUUCCAUCAAGCUUUCAAGAGACGCCCAGGUUGCUGGUCUUCAGACAACACUCACAGUAGCCAGAGUAUAGACUUGUGUCAGAGAAAUCUAGGAGAUAAGCUAUUGGACAGUUUGAAACAUAACAAGAAUUAAUGAAAAGCAUUAUUUUGUUUUUCUUUCUGAGCAUGUUUAUAGCCAGAGGGAACCAAAGAGUUGAAAUAGAAUUAUAGAUAUAAGAUACUACUGCCAAACAAGGAGGGUAAAAGAAGUGGUGGGGACGACCCAUAAAAGGAAUGUAAAAAAGGAAGAAUUAAGACCACAGAUCUAGAGAUUGCCUUUGAAGAGGAAAGGAUACAGUGAAAGGAAGGAGGGAGGGAAGAAAGGUGUCAAAUAGAGAAUCUUGGUGUUGAUGAGGAAAUUUGAGGGAACUCCUUUUAGGGGGUUUACUGAAACAGUGUAUUUUCUCUGAAAUAAAAUCAGAUCAUUACUGCUCCA
ensembl:lncRNA